rnacentral:rRNA from 1 species
AGUGAACGCUGGCGGUAGGCCUAACACAUGCAAGUCGAACGGCAGCACAGUAAGAGCUUGCUCUUACGGGUGGCGAGUGGCGGACGGGUGAGGAAUACAUCGGAAUCUACUUUUUCGUGGGGGAUAACGUAGGGAAACUUACGCUAAUACCGCAUACGACCUACGGGUGAAAGCAGGGGAUCUUCGGACCUUGCGCGAUUGAAUGAGCCGAUGUCGGAUUAGCUAGUUGGCGGGGUAAAGGCCCACCAAGGCGACGAUCCGUAGCUGGUCUGAGAGGAUGAUCAGCCACACUGGAACUGAGACACGGUCCAGACUCCUACGGGAGGCAGCAGUGGGGAAUAUUGGACAAUGGGUGCAAGCCUGAUCCAGCCAUACCGCGUGGGUGAAGAAGGCCUUCGGGUUGUAAAGCCCUUUUGUUGGGAAAGAAAAGCAGCAGGUUAAUACCCCGCUGUUCUGACGGUACCCAAAGAAUAAGCACCGGCUAACUUCGU